rnacentral:lncRNA from 1 species
GCCCAGCCCAGUGUGUCCCAGAAUCACCUGGCCACUCCGGCCCGGGGAGGGGAGAGUCCUGCCUGUGUGGACCAGGGGUAGAGGGCUUGGCUCACAGAUGAUCGUCCCAAGAAAAGGAAAGUGCAGCACAGUCAGCAACGACCUACUGCUCUUCUGAGGGGAAGCCUGGAGACAUGUCAAGAGUCGCAUAGCUUCAGGCUGGGAGAUGAUUUGCCGAUACCACACUUCAGUUCCCUAUCCUUGGCCCUCCCUCCCCCGAACACUUGAAAUUUCAGUCCGUUUUAUAUAGAAAGUAUGGUCUUGGGGGACGUCUGGCCUGCUGAGCCGGAAGGGCACGUGACUCUCUCAGAGUCAUGAGUUUGAGCCCCACGUUGGGCGUAGAGAUUACUUAAAUAA